GAUGAACGCUGACAGCAUGCUUAACACAUGCAAGUCAACUGUGGCGGACGGGUGAGUAACGCGUAAAGAACUUGCCUCACAGAUAGGGACAACAUUUGGAAACGAAUGCUAAUACCUGAUACUGUGAGAGAGCUUUGCGUCCCAUUAGCUAGUUGGAGAGGUAACGGCUCACCAAGGCGAUGAUGGGUAGCCGGCCUGAGAGGGUGAUCGGCCACAAGGGGAAUGGGACACGGCCCUUACUCAGACGGGAGGCAGGAGUGGGGAAUAUAUGACAAUGGACCAAAGUCUGAUCCAGCAAUUCUGGGUGCACGAUGAAGUUUUCGGAAUGUAAAGUGCUUUCAGUUGGGAAUCAGUACCAACAGAAGAAGUGACGGCUAAAUACGUGCCAGCAGCCGCGGUAAUAC
rnacentral:rRNA from 1 species